AACAAGGACGAUUUAUCCACAGUUGUCUUACAUGUUCUCGCUCAACGACAAGUAGUCGAUCUUUCAAGGAAAUAUAAUGGCUUUUAGUUUUUCAUUUUUAAUAAUCCGUAUUGUAUUCGUACCAGUCUUAAAUAUGAAUUGUGUGCAUCUAUAUAUAUCUUCGCUCUUGCUCAGUUUGCUUGUGUCUCUAGGACGAUCUGAGUUUCAUGUGGAAUUGGUCCAAGUGGUAAUGAGACAUGGAGAACGUACACCGUUACUUAAGGAAAUGUAUCCCAACGAUCCAUAUAAUACGUCAGUUUAUGAACCGUGGGGUCUUGGCCAACUGACCAAUAAAGGAAAAUUGACGGAAUAUCGAAUCGGCACAAUGUUGAGAGAACGUUACAACGAUUUUCUAGGGUCAAUUUAUCAUCCACGAGAUAUCUAUGCUGUCAGCACAGACGUCGACCGGACGAAAAUGUCUCUGCAGUUGAUGUUAGCAGGGUUAUAUCCUCCACAUCCAACACAAUUAUGGAAUCCGGAUUUACCAUGGCUAGCUAUUCCUACGCAUUACGCUCCUGAAAGAGUGGACACGGUGCUGAAACCUCAUAACUGCCCAGUAUACAUAGCAGCCUUAGAAGAGGUAACAGAAACCAAAGAAGUCCGCGAUAAAAUUGCAAUUUACAAAGACUUUUUAAAAUUUUUGAGUGAGAAAACUGGAAUAACCAUCCAACAGUCAAAACCCGCUUACGAAGUUUUCAAUCUACUAACAGCACAGAAAAACAUGAAUCUAACUCUGCCGGAGUGGUGCACUGACGAAGUAUACCACAAGAUGGAGGACUUAAUGGAAUUGGAAUAUGAGCUCCGUUCGUACACGACUCAGUUAAAGCGAUUGAACGGCGGUAUGUUGAUCAAGAAAUUUAUCGACAAUUUGAACAUCACAGGAAAAAAUACGAUUCCACGCAAGAUGUACAUAUACAGUGCCCAUGACAUAAAUAUUGCAGCGUUUGCCAGAGCUCAUAAUAUCAGCGAGCCGCGCUUGCCAGAUUAUGGUUCAGCAUUCAUAUUUGAGAAGUUACGAGAUGACGCUGAUGAACUCUACGUCAGGAUUAUCUUAUGGACCGGCAGAACAGAAAAGUUGAUAACUAUGAAGCUUGCGGACUGCAAUGAACUUUGUCCUUUGGAAACUUAUUUAGAGCUCGUACGAGAUGUGACACCAUCGGACGACGAGACAACUUGCUUGUGGAAUGAUAUAACCAGAGAAGAACUACUGAAACUCUUUGAGGAAAGGCUCAAUUUAGAUUAGGCAAGUUUUGUUCAGGAAUUAAAUUAUUGGAGAGACUGGUUUUAAAGAAACAAUUUCAAAUAAGGAGAAGAACAUAGCAGACAAUUAAACUUGGAAAGAAUUGUUGCAAUAAAUAUAUUUGAGUCUGCCCUAUAA